rnacentral:rRNA from 1 species
AUCGUUUUGGGAAUACUUAAUCCCAUCUGAUCUCGGAAGCUAAACAGGACUGGGCCUGGUUAGCACACGGAUGGGAAACUGCUAGGAAUAUCAGCUA